rnacentral:rRNA from 1 species
UACGGGGGGAGCAAGCGUUGUUCGGAAUUACUGGGCGUAAAGGGCUCGUAGGCGGCCAACUAAGUCAGACGUGAAAUCCCCAGGCUCAACCUGGGAACUGCGUCUGAUACUGGAUGGCUUGAAUUCGGGAGAGGGAUGCAGAAUUCCAGGUGUAGCGGUGAAAUGCGUAGAUAUCUGGAGGAAUACCGGUGGCGAAGGCGGCAUCCUGGACCGACAUUGACGCUGAGGAGCGAAAGCUAGGGGAGCAAACGGG